AAUUGAAUUUAGAUCCAUCCUUCGGUCCAUAAAAAAUACUCCACCCACCCAUCAAAUUUGUAUGAGAGAGAAUAUGAAAGAAAAAUGUUUGAAAAGAUGUAGUGUGGAACCGAGUAAAAGUCAAAUUACCUUAUUAAUUAUUUCUUCGAAAAUGUGACUAAAAAAUUUUUCAUUCUGCCUAGUACUAGGGAACAUGUUUCGGCUAAAAUUAUGAUUGGCAAUUGU
ensembl:ncRNA C39D10.13 ncRNA